rnacentral:rRNA from 1 species
CCUACGGGUGGCAGCAGUGAGGAAUAUUGGUCAAUGGGCGAGAGCCUGAACCAGCCAAGUCGCGUGAGGGAGUACUGCCCUAUGGGUUGUAGACCUCUUUUGUCGGGGAGCAAAAGCCGGACGUGUCCGGCUGUGAGAGUACCCGAAGAAAAAGCAUCGGCUAACUCCGUGCCAGCAGCCGCGGUAAUACGGAGGAUGCGAGCGUUAUCCGGAUUUAUUGGGUUUAAAGGGUGCGCAGGCGGGAGAUCAAGUCAGCGGUAAAAUGUCGGGGCUCAACCCCGGCCGGCCGUUGAAACUGGUUUUCUAGAGUUGGAGAGAAGUAUGCGGAAUUCGUGGUGUAGCGGUGAAAUGCAUAGAUAUCACGAAGAACUCCGAUUGCGAAGGCAGCAUACCGGCUCCAUACUGACGCUGAGGCACGAAAGCGUGGGGAUCGAACAGGAUUAGAUACCCUUGUAGUC